rnacentral:rRNA from 1 species
GUCUUCUCGGUUUUAUGGGAAGUCGGGCCUGCCCGGUGAAAUGUUUUAACGGCCGCGGUAUUUUGACCGUGCAAAGGUAGCAUAAUCAUUAGUCCUUUAAUAGGGGACUGGAAUGAAGGGUUUGACGAAAUAAUAACUGUCUCAUUGUGAGGAUUUUGAAUUUAACUUUUAAGUUAAAAGGCUUAAAUUUUAUUGGAAGACGAGAAGACCCUAUAGAGCUUUAUAUAUGUUUAUUUAAUUUUUAUUGUCUAUUGUCUUGUUUUUUAUGCAUGUAUUUUGUUGGGGUGACGAGGAAUAUAUUUAUAACUUUCAUUAUUUAUAUAACAUUUAUUUAUGAUUAUUAGAUCCAUUAUUAUUGAUUAUUAGAAUAAGUUACCUUAGGGAUAACAGCGUAAUCUUCUUUGGGAGUUCAAAUUUACAAGAAGGCUUGCGACCUCGAUGUUGGAUUAAGAUGAUAGUUAGGUGUAGCAGCUUAAUUAAUAGGUCUGUUCGACCUUUAAAUUCUUACAUGAUCUGAGUUCAGACCGG